rnacentral:rRNA from 1 species
GUUUGAUCCUGGCUCAGAGCGAACGUUAGCGGCAGGCUUAACACAUGCAAGUCGAGCGAGAAAAGGGGCUUCGGCUCCGAGUAAAAGCGGCGGACGGGUGCGUAACACGUGGAUAAUCUGCCUCGUGGCGGGGGACAACAGUCCGAAAGGACUGCUAAUACCGCAUGUCAGGUCGGAAACUCCGGUUUCUGACGAAAAAGAGGGCGUCCGCAAGGGAGCUCUCACCACGAGAUGAGUCCGCGUCCCAUCAGCUAGUUGGCGGUGUAAUGGACCACCAAGGCUUAGACGGGUAGCUGGUCUGAGAGGAUGACCAGCCACACUGGGACUGAGACACGGCCCAGACUCCUACGGGAGGCAGCAGUGGGGAAUAUUGGACAAUGGGCGAAAGCCUGAUCCAGCCAUGCCGCGUGAGUGAUGAAGG